UACGUAGGUGACCAGCGUUGUCCGGAUUUACUGGGCGUAAAGAGCGCGCAGGCGGUCGUUCAAGUCGGGUGUGAAAGCCCUGGGCUCAACCUAGGAAGUGCACUCGAAACUGCUUCGCUUGAGUGCCGGAGAGGAAAGCGGAAUUCUCGGUGUAGAGGUGAAAUUCGUAGAUAUCGAGAGGAACAUCGGUGGCGAAGGCGGCUUUCUGGACGGUAACUGACGCUGAGACGCGAAAGCGUGGGGAGCAAACAGG
rnacentral:rRNA from 1 species